UGUUCCUACGGGGCGCAGCAGUGAGGAAUAUUGGUCAAUGGCCGAGAGGCUGAACCAGCCAAGUCGCGUGAGGGAUGACGGCCCUACGGGUUGUAAACCUCUUUUGCCGGGGAGCAAAGAGCGGGACGCGUCCCGCCUCGAGAGUACCCGGAGAAAAAGCAUCGGCUAACUCCGUGCCAGCAGCCGCGGUAAUACGGAGGAUGCGAGCGUUAUCCGGAUUUAUUGGGUUUACAGGGUGCGCAGGCGGAGGCGCACGUCAGCGGUACAAUUGAGAGG
rnacentral:rRNA from 1 species